GAUAUAUUGCCAUGCAACUUUCCACCAUUCCGUCUAUUAUGACACGCUUCAUCAUUGUCAUAUUGCCUUGCAUGAUCAUGUAGUUGACAUUGUAUUUGCGGCAAAGCCACCAUGCAUAUUAUUUCAUACAUGUCACUCUUGAUUCAUCGCCCAUCCCAAUACACCGCCGGAGGCAUUCAUAUAGAGUCAUACUUUUGUUCUAGUAUCGAGUUGUAAUCAUUGAUUUGUAAAUAAAUAGAGGUGUGAUGAUCAUUAUUAAUAGACCAUUGUCCCAAAAAAAAGAGAGAAAGGCCAAAUAAAAAAAGGGAAGGCCCAAAAAAUAAAUAAAAAGGGGACAAUGCUACUAUCCUUUUUCCACACUUGUGCUUCAAAGUAGCACCAUGAUCUUUAUGAUAGAGAGUCUCUUGUUUUGUCACUUUCAUAUACUAGUGGAAAUUUUUCAUUAUAGAACUUGGCUUGUAUAUUCCAACAAUGGGCUUCCUCAAAUGCCCUAGGUCUUCGUGAGCAAGCAAGUUGGAUGCACACCCACUUAGUUUAUUUUGUUGAGCUUUCGUACAUUUAUAGCUCUAGUGCAUCUGUUGCAUGGCAAUCCCUACUCCUUGCAUUGACAUCAAUUGAUGGGCAUCUCCCUAGCCCAUUGAUUAGCCGCGUCAAUGUGAGACUUUCUCCUUUUUUGUCUUCUCCACACAACCCCCAUCAUCAUAUUCUAUUCCACCCAUAGUGCUAUGUCCAUGGCUCACGCUCAUGUAUUGCGUGAAAGUUGAAAAAAGUUUGAGAUUACUAAAGUAUGAAACAAUUGCUUGGCUUGUCAUCGGGGUUGUGCAAGAUGAGAGCAUUCUUGUGUGAAGAAAAUGAAGCAUGGCCAAACUAUAUGAUUUUGUAGGGAUGAGCUUUCUUUGGCUAUGUUAUUUUGAGAAGACAUGAUUGCUUGAUUAGUAUGCUUGAAGUAUUUUUAUUUUUAUGUCAACAUUAAACUUUUAUCUUGAAUCUUUUAGAUCUGAACAUUCAUGCCACAAUAAAGAAAAUUACAUUGAAUAAUGUGCUAAGGAGCAUUCCACAUCAAGAAUUCUAUUUUUAUCAUUUACCUACUCGAGGACGAGCAGGAAUUAAGCUUGGGGAUGCUUGAUACGUCUCCAACGCAUAUAUAAUUUUUUAUUGCUCCAUGCUAUUAUAUAUUCUAUUUUGGAUGUUUAAUGGGCUUAUUUAUACACUUUUAUAUUAUUUUUGGGACUAACCUAUUAACCCAAGGCACAGUGCAAGUUGUUAUUUUUUUGCCUAUUUCAGUGUUUCGCAGAAAAGGAAUAUCAAACGGAGUCCAAACGGAAUGAAACCUUCGGGAGCGUGAUUUUUGGAACAAAACUGAUCCAGAGGAAUUGGAGUGGACGUCAAGCUAUCAACAAGCAGGCCACGAGGCAGGGGGCGUGCCUACCCCCCUGGUCGCGCCCUCCACCCUCGUGGCUCCACCGACCUACUUCUUCCUCAAAUAUAUACCUACGUACCCCGAAACCAUCGAGGAGCACCAUGAAAACCUAAUUCCACCGCUGCAACCUUCUGUACCCGUGAGAUCCCAUCUUGGGGCCUUUUCCGGCGCUCCGCUGGAGGGGGCAUCGAUCAUGGAGGGCUUCUACAUCAACACCAUAGCCUCUCCGAUGAUGUGUGAGUAGUUUAGCAUAGACCUUUGGGUCCAUAGUUAUUAGCUAGAUGGCUUCUUCUCUCUCAUUGGACCUCAAUACAAAGUUCUCCUCGAUCUUCUUGGAGAUCUAUUUGAUGUAACUCUUUUUGCGGUGUGUUUGUCGAGAUCCGAUGAAUUGUGGGUUUAUGAUCAAGAUUAUCUAUGAGCAAUAUUUGAAUCUUCUCUGAAUUCUUUUAUGUAUGAUUGGUUAUCUUUGCAAGUCUCUUCGAAUUAUCAGUUUGGUUUGUCCUACUAGAUUGAUCUUUCUUGCAAUGGGAGAAGUGCUUAGCUUUGGGUUCAAUCAUGCGGUGCUCGAUCCCAGUGACAGUAGGGGAAACGACACGUAUUGUAUUGUUGCCAUCGAGGAUAACAAAGAUGGGGUUUAUAUCAUAUUGCUUGAGUGUAUCCCUCUACAUCAUGUCAUCUUGCUUAAUGCGUUACUCUAUUCUUAUGAACUUAAUACUCUAGAUGCAUGCUAGAUAGCGGUCGAUGUGUGGAGUAAUAGUAGUAGAUGCAGGCAGGAGUCGGUCUACUUGUUGCGGACGUGAUUCAUUAUCAUGCCUGGAUAUUCUCAUAACUAUGCACUUUUCUAUCAAUUGCUCGACAGUAAUUUGUUCACCCACCGUAAUACUUAUGCUAUCUUGAGAGAAGCCACUAGUGAAACCUAUGGCCCCGGGUCUAUUCUCCAUCAUAUAAGUUUCCAAUCUAUUUUUACUUUGCAAUCUUUACUUUCAAUCUAUAUCAUAAAAAUACCAAAAAUAUUAUCUUAUCAUCUCUAUCAGAUCUCACUUUUGCAAGUGGCCAUGAAGGCAUUGACAACCCCUUUAUCGCUUUGGUUGCAAGGUUCUUAUUUGUUUGUGUAGGUACAAGGGACUUGCGUGUGGCCUCCUACUGGAUUCAUACCUUGGUUCUCGAAAACUAAAGGAAAUACUUACACUACAUUGCUGCAUCACCCUUUCCUCUUCAAGGGAAAAACCAACGCAUGCACAAGAGGUAGCAAGAAGGAUUUCUGGCGCCGUUGCCGGGGAGUCUACACACAAGUCAAGACAUACCAAGUAUCCAUCACAAACUCUUAUCCCUCGCAUUACAUUAUUUGCCAUUUGCCUCUCGUUUUCCUCUCCCCCACUUCACCCUUGCCGUUUUAUUCGCCCUCUUUUUCCGUUCGCCACUUUUUCGCUUACCUCUUGUGCCCCGUGUGCCGUCAUGGCUAGUACUUUAUCUACUCCUUUGUCUCCUGAGAAUGAAGUUCUUAAUUUUAAACAAAGGGAGGGGGAAAUUCCAAACGAUGCUUUGUACAUAAUUUGCAAUGCGCAAAAUAGAUCUACUAGGAAGCAAUCUACUUCCGUUCUUCUUCGCAAUUUUUAUGUAGGCAUCACUCCUUGGAAUAGAUAUAUUCUUGAUACCAUUUCCGGAGGGAAUUUUUUGGGUAGCCAUACUUUUGAUUCUUAUAAUGCUAUGAUAGAUUUGUUUGGGCCACCACCUCUUUUGGUUAAUGAAACUAUUUUAACUUUGGAACAUGUGAUGCAAAGGCUUGAAAUUAUUGAAAAUAAAGUUGCCACCGUAGAGUUGAUUGAAAAUUUGGAUAAAAAGAUCCACAACCAAAUUACCCAAUAUGGAUCUAAGGUAGGAGUUGCUCUUAAAAAUUUCAAAGAAAAGGAACCCAUGGUUAAUGAAAAGAUAGAUCAAGAUUCCACUAGAAUUGAUAAAAUUGAGGAUAUUAUUACCAACUUAGGGUCAGCCUUUUCUUCCACGAAAAAUACUUCAAAACCUCCUACUAAAAUUGCCAAAUUAAUACUCUAGAUGCAUGCUGGAUAACGGUCGAUGUGUGGAGUAAUAGUAGUAGAUGCAGGCAGGAGUCGGUCUACUUGUUGCGAACGUGAUUCAUGAUCAUGCCUAGAUAUUCUCAUAAUUAUGCACCAUCACACAUAAACCUCCUUAUAUCUUCCAAACCCCGUGAUACGAUACGCUCUAUCACACAUAAACCUCCUUAUAUCUUCCUCAAAACAGCCACCAUAGCUACCUAUUAUGGCAUUUCCAUAGCCAUUCCGAGAUAUAUUGCCAUGCAACUUUCCACCGUUCCGUCUAUUAUGACACGCUUCAUCAUUGUCAUAUUGCCUUGCAUGAUCAUGUAGUUGACAUUGUAUUUGCGGCAAAGCCACCAUGCAUUUUAUUUCAUACAUGUCACUCUUGAUUCAUCGCCCAUCCCAAUACACCGCCGGAGGCAUUCAUAUAGAGUCACAAUUUUGUUCUAGUAUCGAGUUGUAAUCAUUGAUUUGUAAAUAAAUAGAGGUGUGAUGAUCAUUAUUAAUAGAGCAUUGUCCCAAAAAAAGAGAGAAAGGCCAAAUAAAAAAAGGGAAGGCCCAAAAAAUAAAUAAAAA
rnacentral:lncRNA from 1 species